GAUGAACGCUAGCGGCAGGCUUAAUACAUGCAAGUCAAGGGGGUAGCAAUACUACCGGCGCACGGGUGAGUAACACGUACAUAACAUACCAUAUACUGGGGUAUAGCUUUGGGAAACUGAAGGUAAUCCCCCAUAACAUUGCGAGAGGGCAUCUGAUUGCAAUUAAAGUUUCGACGGUAUAUGAUUGAUGUGCGUUUGAUUAGCUUGUUGGUAGGGUAACGGCCUACCAAGGCGACGAUCAAUAGCUGGCGUGAGAGCGCGACCAGCCACACUGGAACUGAGACACGGUCCAGACUCCUACGGGAGGCAGCAGUAGGGAAUAUUGGACAAUGGGCGAAAGCCUGAUCCAGCCAUGCCGCGUGAUAGAUGAAGGCCCUCUGGGUUGUAAAUAUCUUUUAUCUGGGAAGAACAAUCUUAUUCUUAAGAUCUUGACGGUACCAGAGGAAUAAGCACCGGCUAACUCCGUGCCAGCAGCCG
rnacentral:rRNA from 1 species